GAUGAACGCUGGCGGCGUGCCUAAUACAUGCAAGUCGAGCGAACAGACGAGGAGCUUGCUCCUCUGACGUUAGCGGCGGACGGGUGAGUAACACGUGGAUAACCUACCUAUAAGACUGGGAUAACUUCGGGAAACCGGAGCUAAUACCGGAUAAUAUAUUGAACCGCAUGGUUCAAUAGUGAAAGACGGUUUUGCUGUCACUUAUAGAUGGAUCCGCGCCGCAUUAGCUAGUUGGUAAGGUAACGGCUUACCAAGGCAACGAUGCGUAGCCGACCUGAGAGGGUGAUAGGCCACACUGGAGCUGAGACACGGUCCAGGCUACUGCGGGAGGCAGCAGUAGGGAAUCUUACGCAGUGGGCGAAAGCAUGACGGAGUAACGCCGAGUGAGUGAUGAAGGUCUUCGGAUCGUAAAACUCUGUUAUUAGGGAAGAACAAAUGUGUAAGUAACUAUGCACGUCUUGACGGUACCUAAUCAGAAAGCCACGGCUAACUACGUG
rnacentral:rRNA from 1 species